rnacentral:tRNA from 1 species
GCCGAAGUGGUGAAAUUGGUAGACACGCUAUCUUGAGGGGGUAGUGACCUAUGGUCGUGCCGGUUCAAGUCCGGCCUUCGGCACCA